rnacentral:rRNA from 1 species
UAUGCAUAGGAAUCUACCUAGUAGUAUAGGAUAGCCACUAGAAGUGGUGGGUAAUACUGUAUAAUCCCCGCGGGGGAAAGAUUUAUCGCUACAUGAUGAGCCUAUGUUAGAUUAGCUAGUUGGUGGGGUAAUGGCCUACCAAGGCAGUGAUCUAUAGCUGGUCUGAGAGGAUGAUCAGCCACACUGGAACUGAGACACGGUCCAGACUCCUACGGGAGGCAGCAGUGGGGAAUAUUGGACAAUGGGCGCAAGCCUGAUCCAGCUAUGCCGCGUGAGUGAGGAAGGCCUUAGGGUUGUAAAACUCUUUCAGUGGGGAAGAUAAUGACGGUACCCACAGAAGAAGUCCCGGCAAACUCCGUGCCAGCAGCCGCGGUAAUACGGAGGGGGCAAGCGUUGUUCGGAAUUAUUGGGCGUAAAGGGCAUGUAGGUGGUUUGGUUAGUUAAAGGUGAAAUGCCAGGGCUUAACCCUGGAGCUGCUUUUAAUACUGCCAGACUGG